rnacentral:misc_RNA from 1 species
CAAGAAAAAAAAUUAUUACGAGAGCCGAACAUUCGGUCGUGCUAUGCAAGUUUUGGGUUUUUUGGAGGAGUACACAAAAAAGUGAUCCCCGCUAGUGAAAGCGCUUUAGACCGUCAAAAAUUAUUCUAUAAUUGAGCUGCCUUUUUAACAACCAAUGUGUUCCGGUUUUAUUAAAGAGACACAAGUGAGGUUGAGCUUUUGGGUUAUGUAUUAGGAUUCCAAAAAAACCAGAAAGUGGGAGGUAGUUUUUUGAAGGAGUAGGCAAGAAGGGACUCCUGAAAUCGAGCGCCUUAAGAUCGUCAAAAAUUACUUUACAAUUGAGCUGCCUUUUAACGAAGGAAUGUGUUCCGGUCUUAUCCAAGCGACUCAAAUCCGGUUGAGCCUUUGUUGUUUAUUGAGAUAUCAAAAAACUAAAAAAGAAGGAGAAAAACUUGUAUCUAGAGAGCUGCCAGUAGGCCGUAAUAAUUUCUUUUUCAUUCUUCACGCGAAUAAUUUUGUUUGUUCUUUUAUUUUUUACAAAAAAACCAAAACGAAAAAAAAUGUAAAACGUGUCUGAACUAAUU